rnacentral:rRNA from 1 species
UACGUAGGGUGCAAGCGUUAAUCGGAAUUACUGGGCGUAAAGCGUGCGCAGGCGGUUUUGUAAGUUUGUCGUGAAAUCCCCCGGGCUCAACCUGGGAAUGGCCGAUGAAGACUGCAAGGCUAGAAUCUGGCAGAGGGGGGUAGAAUUCCACGUGUAGCAGUGAAAUGCGUAGAGAUGUGGAGGAACACCGAUGGCGAAGGCAGCCCCCUGGGCAAGAUUGGACGCU